AUUGAACGCUGGCGGAAGGCCUAACACAUGCAAGUCGAGCGGAGCGGCGGACGGGUGAGUAAUGCCUAGGAAUCUGCCUGGUAGUGGGGGAGAAGGUCCGGAAACGGGCGCUAAUACCGCAUACUCUCAGAGGAGCUCAGGUCGGGUUAGCUAGUUGGUGGGGUAAAGGGAUACCAAGGCGACGAUCCGUAACUGGUCUGAGAGGAUGAUCAGUCAGACUGUAACUGAGACACGGUCCAGACUCCUACGGUAGGCAGCAGUGGGGAAUAUUGGACAAUGGGCGAAAGCCUGAUCCAGCCAUGCCGCGUGUGUGAAGAAGGUCUUCGGAUUGUAAAGCACUUUAAGUUGGGAGGCGUUACCAACAGAAUAAGCACCGGCUAACUUCGUGCCAGCAGCCGCGGUAAUAC
rnacentral:rRNA from 1 species